rnacentral:lncRNA from 1 species
ACAGAUGGCUUAUUAGGGAAGUUGCGGAGGAGCAAAGCCACUCUCCUCCUACUGACUACGUUUACUACGCCAGCCUUAUAGAUGAUUCAGAGUCUGCAGAACGCUGUCUUUCUACCUAGCCGAUUUCCCCCUAUGGAGGUCGGAGACGCCAGUUUCUCCUGUUCCACAUCGAGAUUUUCCUGACAAGCACCCUGGGGGACCCUAGAGGGCAGCAAUCCUGUCCUAUUCUUCUGUGUGUUCCUGUGCCCAGCCCAAGGCCCCCAGAUGGAAGCUGCACGGAGUGUUUACUGAUUGAAGGAACGAAUGGAGAAGGGGCUCAUCUCUUGCUAAUCUUGAAGACAGUGCACGUGCACUCACAUAAAAUAACUACUCCCUUCAGCUAUAUAGACGCAUUUGACGCCAUGUCAGUGGACAGCCCUACCAAAGCCAGAAGCAAAAAUUCCUCUGUGGAAAAGAUAUGCUGGGCCCUAAUUAGUGGCCCCGUAACCUGGACAAUAUAUCAAGGAAGAGGAGGGAGAGAAAAGAAAGACAGAUAGACAAGCACUUUGGAGUUCCUGAGGAGGUGAGCAGUAGUAAACUGUGGAUGGGAUGCUGGACCAGGCUGGAGGUCAAGAAAAGGUAUUUCAGCAGAGUCUUGCUGUUGGGCCUUAAUCCAGCCUUGUGACCUCGGUGAGCCUCUACCAGAAAAUGGGGAUAACACCCUGCAGAUGCUGUGAGAGUUAAAUAAACUUGUAUAUGUAAAGUGCCUUGUCACUGUCCUCUGGAUGUAGGUAUGAGGGAC